GUUCGAUGGGCAGAGAGAGCUUUUCAAUCUUCCUUUUUCAGUGGGGCUGAUACGUCACUGGCCCAGUGAUGGCCUAGCCCAAAAGGUAGGCCCAACAAACGCCGGUCCAGCAUGGCCCAGGCCCACACAAACUGCCCGGAUCUUCUGCGCCGGGCAGAUCCGCCGCGCCGCUGCGGGGCUUGCUUCCGUAAUCCGUAUCCGACCGGGCGCAGACCCCGAGCGUCGACGCCGGAACCGGCGGCGCGGCGACCAUGCGCGUACUGCCGCAUGGCGGCCACCAGGCUCCUCCCUCCGGAAAUAUAUGAGAAUACAAACACAAUCUGAAUUAAGCAAACUCAAUAUUGUUCAAGUCCUCUCGUUUAUAAGCUGUGGCCAGGGUAGAUUGAGGUGUGAAAGGUACAUCAUUGUCUUACAGAAAAACUGACAAGAUUUCGUCCACUGAGAAGUAAUAGGCUGUGGCAAGCCACAAUACCAAACAAAAAUUUGCCGAGAUGCCCUAGCCAUCAUCCCCUUGCAGGCCAAAACGGUUAUGGUGACAGUAUGGGAAGUACAGUAUUUUGUAAUAUUAAUUCCACCUGCAGUUGAUUCUCCAUUUUAUGCAAUGUUGGCCCUUGGCAGUAGUGCAGUGGAAAAAAUAGAAGAUAUUCUGGAAAUCAUGUACCAUGUACCAGCUACGUUAUGCUGCCCUUUUCCUCAAGAGUGAGAACUUCCUUAUGGUCGAUCACCUGACUGCAGUGCAAGAGCCUGAAGUCCUGAACAUGUAAAGCUACAAAGGACCUUUGAAGCAACCCUUUCAUCAAAUCCAGCUGGUAAAUCGCCUGGGUGAUUAUACUAUAGAUCAAGAGAACUUUUGGCCUGAUCUUCAUCCAGCAAAAGCCCUGGCAUGUGCUGAUUCAACUACUCAGGCAUAGCCCACUGACCAAGGAUAGGAUAGCAGCCAACCAAAUCUCAAGUCAAAAAGGCGCCUGCCCGGGGUCAGCUCAGAUGGUUCGGGCUAACAAAUCCGUCCUGCUCCAUCUCCGUGCAAGAGUUGAGCAGGGAUAGGAAAUCAAGCUGAACCGUGACCUCAGAGAGGAAAUGCUGGCUUUUGGAGGUUAGCAGGAAGCGCAUUUUGGUGCCAAAAAAAGGGAGUGCGUUUGGUUCGGCCGGUGGCAGCAGACUGGCAGCCAAUGCAGGCUAACAGGUUGGGCCCAAUCUGCGGAUGCCUUGAACUGGGUACUAUCUUCAAGACAAGAGGAUUGAGCCCAUGUGGAGUUCAAAACAAUAAGAGCAAGACAACGAACACAGCUGGAAACGGUAGAUAACAUUGAACUUUGCUUGAUUUCCCUGCUUAGCUUGAUCAUAUGAAUGGAAACACUAGACAAUUUGGAUGGCGUCA